CGACGCGACAUUUUGUGCAUUACGCGUAUAUGUUUAUUUAUAAGAUAAAAGUUGAGAAAAUUAACAGAUAUCAAAUAAAAUUGUUAAAAUAAAUAAUAGCUUCAACGUGAAAUGGAUUCGGAAUUUAUCAAGAAACUAAAGGAAAAUAAUGUUCCAGAGGAAUGUUUACAAAUUUUGAAAGGUUUGUACCUGAAGGAACAAAUUUGCCGAACACAGUUUGUGAUGUGAGAAAAGAAGUAUCAGCAUCAGUCCAACCAUAUAUCCUUUUCGUGAAAGGAUCAAAACAAAAUUCCUUUUUAGUCCAAGGGGAUGGAAGUUCUGUCAAUGGCUUCGACCUAUUGUUUAAAUUUUAUUACGUGUUAAAUCUUUGUUAUCCACCCGGGUUGCAAAUUUUUUAUAAUUUUAUUGAAAAUUAUAUUUAUGGCCUUAACACAGGAGCUCGAAGUGUUGUUGCAUUGUUGCAUAUCAAUUUGUGUAAUAUUAUCGGGGAA